rnacentral:rRNA from 1 species
GAUGAACGCUGGCGGCGUGCUUAACACAUGCAAGUCGAACGAUGAAGCUCAGCUUGCUGGAUGGAUUAGUGGCGAACGGGUGAGUAACACGUGAGUAACCUGCCCUUAACUCUGGGAUAAGCCUGGGAAACUAGGUCUAAUACCGGAUAGGAGCGCCUACCGCAUGGUGGGUGUUGGAAAGAUUUAUCGGUUUUGGAUGGACUCGCGGCCUAUCAGCUUGUUGGUGAGGUAAUGGCUCACCAAGGCGACGACGGGUAGCCGGCCUGAGAGGGUGACCGGCCACACUGGGACUGAGACACGGCCCAGACUCCUACGGGAGGCAGCAGUGGGGAAUAUUGCACAAUGGGCGAAAGCCUGAUGCAGCGACGCCGCGUGAGGGAUGACGGCCUUCGGGUUGUAAACCUCUUUCAGUAGGGAAGAAGCGAAAGUGACGGUACCUGCAGAAGAAGCACCGGCUAACUACGUG